AACAAAUAAACCCCAUAAAAGGGAUGGAGAGGCCUCUUGUAUGUGUGUGUGUGUCCAUACGCACUGUGCACCGGGCCAUAGGGGCAGGGCUGUGAUGGUUUAAACAUGGAGGUGAGGAGCAACUUCAAGGCAAAAGUAAGGUCUUGUAGUGCAAAACUGGAGUCACACCUGUUUCCUCCUAUUGGCUCAACACGAUGGGACCCUAAGGGCAAUGAAACGACUGAUAAAACUGUGUCAAUAACAGCUGGAGAGCGUCGCCUCCUUUGUCCUCCCUCUGUUUGUCAGAGCUCUGAGCCGGGCAGGGCACCGUGCUGGAUGCGUUGUCGAGGCCUUCUAUGUCACCCAUCACCUUCAGAAAAAGAAAAAAAAAAACUCACCCAAAGCAUGCUUAAAUCAGCCAGGUAGCAUAAACGAGAAAAGGUGACAAAAAAGAAAUGAACAGCACAACAAUGAUAAACCCGACUGUUUCAGGAGCCCCCGCGGCCUGUAAACGUAUCAAGCGUCACAAAGUGCAGGUUGAACUUGGAUGACAGUGACUGAGAUUGGCAGAAGAACUGCGAUUUUCCUCGAGGCCUGCGAAUAGUGUUGUCAUGCACAGUCUCUUCCUCUGUCCCCGUGCUUAGAGUGAAGUUGGAGGAGAAGCAGAAAUGGAGACUUUAUAUGACACACUACCUCUCGUCCCAGAGGGGAAACGGCUCUCACAACUCUGGGUUGGCCUACUUAUAUACAGUGAUAGGAAAUAUAACUUAAAUCUCACUGGUAUAAGCAAUUACAGAAUGAUGAACCACACAUUUGUCAAAAGAAAAGGCAUAUAAAAGAAGAGAAUAAUGUUUAUCAGGUUGUGCUAUACAUCAAGUGGUCAGGCUGAAAAUGCAGGCUGGCACAAAAGCACCCUAUACAUGAAACCAGUCUAUAUAUUCAAAGUUUAGUUUUGCAAGUGUUGACAAAAAAAUGUUUUCUUUUCUAUUAUUUAUUUCAUUUUAGCUCAUUUUUUUUUUUUUUUUUCUAAAAUUAGUAUAAACUUGCUUGACAAUUGCCUGUGGUGUACUUCAGGGAAGUCCUCCUAUUAAACAGAUAUGACUGCCAGGGAGGCAUUAAUCUCCUCAUGCAACAUAUAGUACAUAGCCAAGGACAUUCCCUCCCUAAUUCUUUUCCUCUGCCUCUCGUAGACACACGCGGCACAUGAAACGACAUCACACACACGCACGCACACAGAGAGCGCGCUCACUUCCUGUAAAAAUCAAAUUCAUAUUUCUGAGGGCUGCCGAUGACCUCAC
ensembl:lncRNA